rnacentral:sRNA from 1 species
GAACUUAUCUGCUUUAGUAAAUGUUAUUUUAAAGCAUAGAAUCUCCUUACUUUACCUUUUCAUCUUUUAUUGUCUUUCUCUUUAAUAAGUGCAUUCGAUGACAAUAAAGUACGGUAUUUUUCUAAAUCAUCCCAAAUAUGUAGAGCAGAACUUUUGGUACAUGUUAAAGAAAAAAUUUGGUUAUAAAUAUGUUUUGUGAGGAAAUUUAUUCUGGAUAAGUUUGUUGAAUAAAAAAUGAAGAAAUAUCUGAUAGGUGUGUGUGUAUAUUAGGGAAAUGCAUUGCGAUAAAAUGCAUCAUACUUGGCCGAAAGGGCAUUUACUGCAUUGUGUGAUGAUUACCAUCAGCUACAAUACAUGCAUUAUCUGUUCAUUUCAUGGAGUUGGAUUUUCACUACCAAUUUAUAUGAUUUUACUGGAUCUUGAUAUUGCAAAAAUUUGUUGCAAGAAAACUGAUUUGCUUAAUUUGCAUAGUAUGUUUGGACCGGCAUGUUUCUGCAUUGAUGUCGGGCCAAUUCAAUAUUAACUGCCAAUGUAUAUAUUUUUCAAGUAUUCAUUAGGUGCUUUGAAUUCCUCUCCAGCAAAGAAUCCUACUAGGAUUUGAUGGAAUAAAUGUUGUUUGCAUUGUAUGUACUAUAUACACAUUUAGUUACAUGAUAUUUUGAUUGAUGCUGAUGUUAGGAAAAUUAAUAUUGUACCUGUGGGGGUAUUUUUCUUUGAAAUUUAAACUAUUUUCUAG